UACAGAGGGUGCAAGCGUUAAUCGGAAUGACUGGGCGUAAAGGGCGCGUAGGCGGGUUUGUAAGUUAGAUGUAAAAUCCCUGGGCUCAACCUAGGAAGGCCAUCUAAUACUGUGAGCCUAGAGUAUAGGAGAGGGGAGCGGAAUUUCCGGUGUAGCGGUGAAAUGCGUAGAUAUCGGAAGGAACACCUGUGGCGAAGGCGGCUCUCUGGCCUAGUACUGACGCUGAGGCGCGAAAGCGUGGGGAGCAAACAGG
rnacentral:rRNA from 1 species